CCUACGGGAGGCAGCAGUGAGGAAUAUUGGUCAAUGGGCGAGAGCCUGAACCAGCCAAGUCGCGUGAAGGAUGAAGGAUCUAUGGUUUGUAAACCUCUUUUAUAAGGGAAUAAAGUGUGGGACGUGUCCUGUUUUGUAUGUACCUUAUGAAUAAGGAUCGGCUAACUCCGUGCCAGCAGCCGCGGUAAUACGGAGGAUCCGAGCGUUAUCCGGAUUUAUUGGGUUUAAAGGGUGCGUAGGCGGCCUUUUAAGUCAGCGGUGAAAGUCUGUGGCUCAACCAUAGAAUUGCCGUUGAAACUGGGAGGCUUGAGUAUGUUUGAGGCAGGCGGAAUGCGUGGUGUAGCGGUGAAAUGCUUAGAUAUCACGCAGAACCCCGAUUGCGAAGGCAGCCUGCCAAGCCAUGACUGACGCUGAUGCACGAAAGCGUGGGGAUCAAACAGGAUUAGAUACCCUGGUAGUC
rnacentral:rRNA from 1 species